UCGUACUUGCUUACUGUACUAGCUAGCUAGACCUAUCUGAAAUGUGUUGCUGUCCAUCUCAACUCAAGGGACACUUCUUUAAAAAUAUGCAGUAUUAACAAUGACAAUUAUUUCUCAAUGCCUAACUAUUGCAGAUAAUGGGUUGCUAUUGCAGUGCUCUCAAUUUUGUUAUUUUAAAAUCUGUAACAUUAAUCUCUAUGCAGAUAGUGAUUUACUCCUGUGCACACUCCGUACAGCAGGUCAUCCAUGACCUUCAGCAUGGUUUUGACUCAACUCAAAAAUUGCCUACUUAUCUUAAACUAGUGCUAAAUGCUAAUAAAACCAAGUUUGUUGUUCUGUAGGUCUCGUAAUGUUGACUCGUAAGGAGCUGCAUAUUUGCAUAUUGACGGGAGCCCAAAUUGAGCAAGUUCCCCAUUCUAAGUACUUAGGUAUUUGGAUUGAUGAUAAACUCUUAAAACACACUGAAAACUGACAAAAGCUGAGAAUUAAGAUUGGUUUCUUUUUAUAGAAAUAAAUCCUGUCUCUCUUUGGAAAGUAGAAGGACGAUUGUUCAAGUAACGCUUCUCCCAGUACUUGUUUAUGGUGACAUAAUCUACAUGCAUGCAGCAGCCUCUGUUUUAAAACCUUUAGAUUCAGUCGCAUAGUGGUAAUUUUCGUACAAAACACUGCAUUUUGUAUAGUUCUGUUGGCUGGGAGUCUAAUUACCAGAAGAGCCCAGCAUUGGCUACUUUUUGUAUAUAACGCGGUUCUUCAGACUCCCCCACUACCUCAGCUCAUGUAUUAAUUGGAGAUUAAGCAAUUUUCAGACCCGCURUCUGGACUGGCUAGUUCUGGAGGUCCCGCAGGUCUACAUUGACCUGGGGGAAAAUGCUUUUAUUUUUUAUGCCCCCAGCUCAUGGAAUAGCCUUCAGGCCACAUUGAAAUUGGACUCACUGGUCUCCAUUGGACAGUUUAGAUGGAGGGUCCAAAGGGUGUGAUGAGGAUGCUGGUGAAAGGACUUCAUUUGAGCAGAACGCCAGCGAGAAAGACGACCAACUGGAUCAAAAUAGACCACUGGCAGAAGAAGUAGAGGGACUUGAACAGAACAGGUCAGGCCACAGAGAGAAGGAUAGUGGACUAGAGUUAGUGAAGACUGAGCAGGAAGAGUAUGAUGUUAUUUCACUACAUUCAUCAGGAAGUGAACAUGGCACAGAGAGAUCAGAUCAUGAGGAAACUGAGUUUGCUGUGGAUGAGAGAGAGAGCCAGCUCUGGGCGUCUUUAACAGAGCGCAACUGUGACUCAGAGGGUCCAGAUUGCAUUUAUGGUACAGAACAAUAUCCACUGGAUCAAGAUACAGACAUACAGCUCAUUCAAAGUGCAGUGGAGGAUCCCAAUAGCGGUCCAUCAGAGAUGGGUGACAUUAGCGGAGUUAUGAAAGAGAUGCGAGCACAGUCUGUUUGGAAUGACAGAAGGACCCCUACAGAUUUGGCUCAGGCACAGCCAGGACAGCACAGAGAAACCAUGCACCCAGAGAGAAGGCAGGAUGGGACAACUAUCAGAGUGCCGUCAGACAAACAAACACUAGCCAAUGAGGGUGCAGGAUAUUCCAAUGUUUGGCUAAACAAUGUAUUCUCACUUGCCCCAAAUUGUUCAAAUGGUUUCAACUCAGCAAAAUUAUCCCAAAGGAGAACCCCAGCAAGAGAGAAGUGGUUUGUUUGCUCCUUCUGUGGAAAGAGCUUUGACCGGGUCGGUCACCUGGAGAUGCAUCAGCGGAUUCAUACAGGAGAGAAACCGUACAGCUGUGUGAUGUGCGGAAGGUGUUUCGCUCAGCAGAGUAAUCUCCGCAGACACCAGCGAGUACACAGGGGCCUCACAACAAAGCAAACUGUCUACUGAUCGUUAUCACCAUGACGAGACAACUAAGAACAUUGUGGAACAACAUUUUCUAAUGACUGAGAACAGAGUUGAUAAGACCAUCAAGACACUCUGGCAGAAAGCAGCAGUGUGUUACUUUUGUCUUCCCAUUCUAUAAAGUGAGAGCAGUGAGACCCUACCACAACUGUUGCACUAGUGGUGCUUAUAUACUGUAGUGAGGGAUCAGAGUUGCAGGUUUACAGCUUCCUGCUUGGAAUGCUUAAGA